UUCGUAGGAAUCCUUUGUUGAAGUGUAAUGAGGUGCAGAGAACUACACCCAGCAGACUGGAAGUCAAUCAAUCUCCCAACAUGCGGACAGAGACGAGGAGUCCUCUGUUGAAAACACGUGAGUGCAGAGAACAAGCAUACAGCAAACUGGAAGGCAAUCACACUCCCGACACUCGGGCAGAGACGGACAACCAAACAGAUACACAAGACAUGACCAACUAGGCAGAGAUAUUGAGUCCAACUGUUGAUGCUUGGUGCCAGAGAGAGAUCCUGCCAGGAAACAGACUGAGUCAGCAUGGGAAGGGGAGUCAUCGUCCCUGUUGUCUGGAGAUGGGCCAGUGCUUGCCGAUUUAUGACGAUAACAAGAGAGAGGAGAGAUGCUGGGAAUCCCUGCUAGAUAACUCAGAGAAAACAUCCAGCCAAAUUAAAGCAGUACAAUGAAUGCAUCUUGAAAAGAAAGAACUCUGAAGAACAGAGGUGUGAUUUAGCUGUGAAACAGAUGAAGAUUAAAGACUGCUCCAUUUCAGGCAGGUUGCUCAGGCCACAAUUGACAGGCUUCUUGUUGAGUUUGUCUGUGAAAGCCUUCAGCCUGUACAGUUAUGUCCAGACCAACUGUGAAGCUGAAAAUCCAAGAAGCAGCUGCAAAGCUUAAGGAAAACAUGAUUGCUGAGGUGGCCAAAGUCAAAUACAUAGGUACCACUACUGAUUGUUGGACAGCACGACAACAGAGUUACAUUGGUGUAACGGCACACUGGAUCGAUGAAUCUACACUGGAGAGAAGGUCCACCUCCAUUGCCUUAAGACACAUGAAAGGUUCACAUACCUUUGAUUUGCUCGCUGGGACCCUGGAUGACAUCACAGAAAAGAUAGUGAGAAGGACAACUGAUAGUGGAUCAAAUUUGAUCAAAGCAUUUAAAAUGUAUGGUGAACAGAGUUGGCAAGAUGAGAUGGGUGCUGAGGCAAUGACUGUGGAGAGUGAUGAAUAUGCAGAAGGAGUUGAGGUUCAGAAUACCUGUUCUAUUUUAAACACAAACAGUGGGUUGGAGUAUCACCUACACAAGCAUCAGCAUUGUGCAUGUCACCUCCAUAAUUUGGUGGCUAUUGUGGAUGCAUCCAAAGCAGAGGUCAACAGUGAAAUAUUUAAGAAGGUUUCCCAUGCUACAUUUGCAAAAUGUCAGGCAUUAUACAAUAAAACCAGCCGGUCUGCCAUCAAUGCUGAAAUCAUGAAAGAACAAUGUAAGCUGCAGUUCAUUCAGCCCAACCACACAAGAUGGAAUUCAGUGUACAGUAAUGCAGAAAGGAUGAUGCAGAUCUUAAAGGAGCAGGAGGAAGCAUCACUUUGUAAUAUAUGUGCCAGAUUCACUGACUUUAAUCCACAUAGUUCUAAUUUGAAUACUUAAGAUGGUUGUGUGUGUCUUAGUUGUUUGACUUAUUAAAGAAAAACCUUCUUUUUUAUAGGCUGAAUCCUGCUGAAGUUGCUUUUCUCUCUGAAUACUGCUGUGUGAUGAAGCCUGUUGCCAUGGCCUUGAACAUCCUUAAGUCCGAAACAAACACUCACAUGGGGUGGCUGCUUCCCACCAUCUACCUUCUUAAUUCAAAGCUCAAUAAGAUGGAGGCUUCAGUCAAGGUGCUUAUUCACACUCUGCAGCAGGGUCUACAAAAGAACUUUGGGGAGCUUAUGGAUGCUCCGGAACUCAUCAGUGCUGCAAUCUGUUCAGUGUUUUUUACUUGCCUACUGUACCAGUCAGACUGUGCAACAAUGAUAGAAAGGAUAAGGGCUGUUAAGGGGUUGUAGUAAAUGCAGCAACACCUAUGCAGCAAGUGAACAGUUUUAUUUAACUAGUAAAAUAAGCAUGACCACACUCAUAUUUGGUCCGUACCACCCUAGGAAGCAUACAAUAGUUUGUCAAUCACCACUCUCCACAUUAUUUGUAAUUUGUGUAUAUGAUAGGUACAGAUUACAUCCUGCAUCAUCUUGAUGCCAUGAAGGACACACAACAACAAAAAUCAUGGUGCGAUG